rnacentral:rRNA from 1 species
CCUAGGGGUGGCUGCAGUGGGGAAUAUUGGACAAUGGGCGAAAGCCUGAUCCAGCCAUGCCGCGUGUGUGAAGAAGGCCUUCGGGUUGUAAAGCACUUUCAGUGGGGAAGAAAGCCUUGGGGCUAAUACCCUCGAGGAAGGACAUCACCCACAGAAGAAGCACCGGCUAACUCCGUGCCAGCAGCCGCGGUAAUACGGAGGGUGCGAGCGUUAAUCGGAAUUACUGGGCGUAAAGCGCGCGUAGGCGGUCUGAUAAGCCGGUUGUGAAAGCCCCGGGCUCAACCUGGGAACGGCAUCCGGAACUGUCAGGCUAGAGUGCAGGAGAGGAAGGUAGAAUUCCCGGUGUAGCGGUGAAAUGCGUAGAGAUCGGGAGGAAUACCAGUGGCGUAGGCGGCCUUCUGGACUGACACUGACGCUGAGGUGCGAAAGCGUGGGUAGCAAACAGGAUUAGAUACCCCUGUAGUC